AAUGUGAGGAAAUGAGAAGCACUUCCCAAAAUUUGAUUUUUAGUGCCUUUCUGUUGUUGCCAAGGAAACCAGUUGCACGUGUGUGUGUGUGUGUGUGUGUGUGUGUGUGUGUGUGUGUGUGUGUGUACAUGUGUGUCAGUGUAUAGUUUGUGUAUAGCAGCUAUAUCACAUAAUCAAAAGAAAGACUACUCAAUUAGCUCUUUUUGUCUCUCAUACACAGAUGCACAUGAAAAUGAGGAUGAAAAAAAAAUCCUAACUGAGUACCCAGACUCAGAAGACCUCAAAAGGGCUCUAAACCAGCUUGAACCAGCCCCCACCAACCUCAAAAUCCUCUCAAAUCAUUAUUCAGCAGGUAUUUCAUUGUACUGUACAUUAUGUAAAAAAGCGAUGAAGCUGACUCAAGAUAAAAUGUGAUGCAAGAGACCAAGGAAAAGACAUGGGCUGAGUGCUCUAAAGAAGGUUUUGAAGUAGAUUCCAAGUUGCUAGUGGUCCUGAUGUCCACUAGAAAAGUUAUAAUGUGAGUUUGUCUUGCACGUUAGGAUUUUUUUCCAAGAAAUUAGUGAGCUGCCUAACUUUGUAAGGCAUCAUAUGAUUGUAGAUUGCAAAAAAAAAGCAAGUCCCAGAAUGCACUGUAAUAAGUUCAAAUAUAUAAAUAAAAUGUAUACAGUAUUUAUAUUAUGUAACAGCUUAGUAACAUGCUAAAGCCAGACUUAUGCGUGUCAUGUACUGUAUGAAUCAUGAAGUUUUUUCAAAAGUAGUGUGACCGAAACCGGACACUUUUGCGGUUCCAUUUCCAGUUUCGUUAAUGUUUUUUUCAUGUGUGUUCUUCCUCUGAUGCAGAAGAAACAUUGUACUACUGUACUUAUUUUGGCACUAAUUCUGAAUCUACAGCAUGAUAAAUGUGCAAUUUUAGCAUUUUUAAUAUAUAGUUAAAUGUACACUCUCUCUCUAAAAAGAAUGUCUAUUAAAAUCUGUGAAAACAACUUUUGCAAGAAUUUAAAAAAAAAUUUUUAUUAUUAAAAUAAAUAUCUCAUCGUUUGGCAAUGGGAUUUUUCCAAAUAUUUAGAAAUAACUUUUGGCAAAAAAAAAAAAAAAAUGUAUGAAACCGGAAAGAUUCCCAUCCCUAUUUCCUCAAAAGAGUCAUUCUGAAUGCUUACUGCACUAUUCUUGUUGGAACCAUUGAUGAUUCCUUGUCAAAAGGUUAAGACAACAUCCUAGAAGUGUGACUCACAGAGACAUCAUUAUGUGUCCCCCUCUCUCUCACUCUGUUCAGUAACAGCUCCACUAACAAGCAGGCUUGGUGUAGAUUCAGGUCACAAUGACUAUAGUGCAUCCCCUCGAUUAUUGCACGCUGAUGUGACCAUGCUCUGGGACUGAAGGUCAUUACCUCUACUGGAGCUUUUUUCACUGGCCCAAUUAUCUCAUUUUGAAACUAAAGUGGGCUCUUAUGUUCCUGCAGUGCAUUCUGGGUCACUGUAUAGUGUGUGCUCUCUAGAGCCUGUGAACAAUUUAACCACCUCCAGAUUGUAUGAAAUAAGAUGAGAAAGUAAAGUAUAUAGCUCAUGGAUUUUACACAGUGUCAAAUGCUUUCAUCUGUGCUUCCACACAGUUCACAUCGUAUGCUUCAAAUGCACAUGCUUUAGCUGACAAGGAAUAGAGUGUAAAUGCCUAAAUGUAAAUGUAUUGGUUAAAUCAAAAUUUUUCAAAAUUUUCAAAGUAUUAUACUUUGGAACUUACCUUUCAUUCACCGUUUGUGCUACAGACAUGAAUGAGGUGCUAAAUUAUAUGGUUUGUUGAGGAGAAAGGUAUUGUUACUUUUGAAAGCAAUCAGACUAGCCAUUUUGACUGACAAAAAAAAAAAAAGUGAAAAAAUACCAGACUCAGGAUGAAGAAUCUCACCCUUAUCUAUAAGAGAGAGCAGGAGGAGGUUUCUCUAAGAGUAACCAUCAAAACAGAAUAGACUAGCUACCGCAUAAAAACAUGAUAAAAACAACGUCAGUGAGUUUUGCAUUUCUGCUUUUCUCCCUCUUGCUUUUUUUUAAGUCAUAAAUGAUUGUGACCUUUAAAGGAGUCAUUCACUUGAUAUUUACAGUGAGGUGGGCAAUCAGUCAGGCUCAAACUCAGGUGAAACAUCCCCACUGUGACCCCCCACACACACACCAUGUGUUCUAUCAUUCCAGUCCUCACUGAUGCCUUCUGCUACAAUAAAAGGAUUCAUAAAUAUCUUUGGGCAAAAUAUAUCCAGAAUUUAUUGAAGGAUUGGCGGUCAGGUGCACACUGGAAAGCAGACAAAUUUCUCUCUGUGCACAUUUAAAGACUCCUGAUUUGUUGUCCUGGUCAAUUAGGUGCAUCAAUGACAAAAAUUUUCUUUCUUUCUUUCUUUCUUUUUUUUUUUUUUUUAAUAUUUAGCAGACUUUUUAAAAUCCAAAGUGAUACGUUGCAUUUGAAGUACUGGGAAUCAGUGCAUGCAUUCCCUGGGAAUCAAACCCAUGACCUUGGUGUUGCUAGCACCAGAAAUAUGUUCUAACAACGUUUUUAUCAUGUUCCCAUUAAGCUAUUAAAAGUAUUUUUUUUCUUCUGAAUGUUCUCUGCAUUUUUUUAUUUCUUGGUUAUGCAAACACUAGAGAAAACAUUAAGGGAAUGUUUCAUUUUAUCAUUUUGCUAACAUUACGAAUACCUUUAAGUGUUCUUUAAAACAAGUAGUAAGUAAUAGCAUUUAAAAAAACAUUAGACAAAUGUCCAUCUAAAACUUUUUAGAAAAAACUUCCAUGAUUGAUAUGACAUAUUUGUGCAAAUAUUUUGCAUGCAUUAUUAAAAACCAGGCAAAUUUGAACAUACAUUCUAUUGAUGUUACUAGAAGAUGUUUAUUCAUAAUUUUGGGCGAACAUUGCCAGAACAUUUCCCAGCUAACACACAAUGUAGCAGUCAUGUAAUUUAUUGGUACUUUUUGGUAGUUUCAUUAGUUAAUUGACAACGUAACUAUGCAUCAUAAUUUCAUUGCUAUCAAAUUACCAACUCAUUAGUACAAACUCCAAGAAUGUUUCAGUUCACUUUGGUAAUUGGCAACGUAACCUCAACAUUGUGUGCCUGCAGUUUCAUUACCAUUAUAUU
ensembl:lncRNA